GGAUAUUAACCUAUUGGAUGUAUAAAAUAUAAGUAUUAUACAUGUAUUAGUAUAUAUAUUUUGUACAUAGAGCUUGCAUAUAAAUAGAACCCUAUUAGCACAUUGCUUCAUUUGCUUGAAAAUUCUAAGUGUUAGUAGUUAAAGAGAGUUAGAGAGAAAUUGAGAUAAAAAGAAGAAACUGUUGGGAAUAUGCAUGUGAAUGUUAUUCCUUUAUUCGUAUAAUUUGAUGAUGAAGAUGAUGAAUGAAUAUGCAAC
rnacentral:lncRNA from 1 species